rfam:Laetiporus sulphureus 93-53 unplaced genomic scaffold LAESTscaffold_9, whole genome shotgun sequence.
GGCCGGCUAGCUCAGUUGGUUAGAGCGUGGUGCUAAUAACGCCAAGGUCGUCGGUUCGACCCCGGCGUUGGCCA